AUAUAUAUAAACAAAGUAGUUUAUUCUAUAUGGGUUUCAAAGAUGCAUGAUGUACACACAUUUACAACACAUGCAUAUGUAGCUAGGUAUACCCUGGUGGGUAGUGCAUAUACAAGCCAAUACACAUACACACAAUUGAAAAACUAGCACAAGAGUGGCAUGCCAAGCCAUGCCAUGAUUGCAAACUCUCUCAAGGUCACACUAACAAAUAAAAAUGCGGCACCAACCAAUAUACGGGUUGGCAUAUAUCAACUGACCGUCUGAUGGAUUAUUAAUUUAUGCAUGCACACACAUAUAUAUGUCGUCUUGGGUUAUCUGAUCAUCAGUUCUGCCAAAUGUCAUCCAUACCCAUGUUCAUCAAUGAGGUCUCGCCAACUGCUGUUGUAGCGGUGUUCCCUGGGUAGUUGUUCCUCAGCCCGGCCACAGUGUCCUCCUGUGACAGCAUCGACGCCAACCCACUUCCAGGUUGAGCCCCGACCAUGAGACCCUGAUCUGCACCCAUAUGCAUCAUCAUCUGUUGAUGUUGUUGUUGGUGUUGGUAGAGCGACAGAGGCAGUGUUGGGUUGGCCAUCAUUUGGUGGUGGUGGUUGUUCCCGAUGUAGUGGUAAUUCAUCAUAGGAAGCGCCACACUGCCCAUCAUCGAUGAGCCAGUUCCGACAUCGUGCGACUUGUAUGAAGAAGCUCCAGGAAACAGCGGUGCAUGCGCACAUGUUGACGACAUGUCAUAUUCCAUGAGAGGAGGCAAUGUAUCUAAGUCGACAAAGGCCUGCUGAUGUUCUGCUCCUGUGUACAUUGGCAUGUUAUAUGACGGUGUCACCAUCUUCUUUAGUCCGGUGCUCUUAUGGAAGAUCCUGCAAACCACCCACUGUUCCUACAAACAUACAUAAAUUAAAUAAGUACAAAUCAAAUGUGUUCUGUAGCAUGCCCCAGGUGUGACGCUAUUGUCACAGAUGCUGAUCACUUUUUCAUUAACUGCUCAUAUUUGGCACAUAUCUCGCAUAACUUGGGUAUUUAGGCGCCCCCUGUACUAGUGUCCAUCUCAGGAAUUGGCAACAUAGUGACUCCACUAAGCUUCGACUCCAACUUUUGGACUCGAUCAACCUUUCCAUCCUUUAGAACAUUUAAGACAUAUAUGAAAUGCCAUUACAUUCCAUGGUUGCAUUUACUCACCUCGGCCUACUAGUAUUAACAUUAUCUACGAUUUCUCUCUUUUGACCCAUACGUUCAGGGUACCUACUCAAAAGGAGGCCGCUAUGUCAUGGUGGAUGUAUCUCCCAUCACACAUCGGUGCAACCUUGUAAUUCUUUCCACGUAUUGGCUACUGUGAGUAAUAUUCAGUUGGGGGUUCUCCCGUUUGAUUGUUCAAAAUAAGUAGCUAACUAGCUACUAGCAUGUUGAUGAUUCAUGAGUACUACUCUAGUAUAAAUUUAUUAUAUACCUUGGAAGCCGUGUUGGUUCUGGUGACGGUGCGGGUGGUGAUGGAUGGGUUGGAUGUCAGCUUCUUGUUGCUCUCGAGCCUAUACUCAUGCAUGAUCCAAUUGGUCUUCUCCCCCCUAGGCGCCCGGCCCUUGUAGAAGACAAGUGUCUUCUUCAUGCCGAUGAGUGUGAAAGGUGGCUGGAAGAUCUCCUUGUCCUUUCCGGUGGCCUUCCAAUAGCCGGCCUCCGUCGCCCGGUUCGUUCGUAUCCCAGUGGGGUACUUGCGAUCCUUUCGGGAGUAAAAGUACCACUCUUUCUCCCCCAUCUUCGCCUUCUCUGGUAGCUCCCAUGGCUCGUACUUGUUGAGGUUUACAUCCUCAAUCGCCGCGACAACGAAGGCUUCAUCGAGCACCUUGGGGACCACAUAGAAUUUGAUGAUCUCCUCAUCCGUCGGGUGGAACCUAAACCCCGGCGGUAGUACCAACUGUUUCUGCUGAAUUUGAAGGUGGUCUGCCAUGGUGGAGGCUUUAUGUGCAAUGGAUUCUGGGGUGAUGGUAAUAUUGGACGCAACCAUAAAUAUGAGUAUGGAAGAAAUUAAUGAGCUAGGGAUAUCCAUGGAGACGCUUAAAUAGGAGUUAAUGCGUGUAGUUGCAAGGCGCUUGCAAGAGAAGCCUCAACGUUUCCAGACCUUUAUUUAUUUUGUAUCUAGUGGCACUGGCUAUGGAUGGAUAGAUAGAUAGAUACUUUCCCCAUCUUUACAACUAUGCGUUGUUUGUCGUGUUGGAGGAGCCACACACUUGUGGUGACAGGUAGAAAGGUUUCUCGAACCUAUCCAAGCGAUGACAUGCCAGAUUACAUACGUGGCAUUCGUGCUAGCCCUACUCGUGCCAUAUGCAUGCUUCUCUUGUCGGUGUUUGCCUUUGUGAUGCAAACCAAUCAAACACUCACAUUUGUCGCACUAGCUGGUUGCGCAUAUAUAACAUUGCCCACUGUUUCGUGUGAUGAUUGAUAUAGAUGUAUCUAGCUAUAAAUAUUGUAUAGCCCCUACCACAGGUUUACACAAAAUAUGUGUGCUUUGUGGAAGUCUCUAGCCACUAGAUUGACUGGUACACCCAGCCACGGUUUGCUUAAUUGAUAAUCCUCCAUGCUAUGGUGCCUACAGGUGUCAGCCACAACUAGGGUCACAUUGCUCCUGCAGGCGCGUGGCCAUGACCGAUCUCUACCUUCUGCUGCCUAAAACCAUGGCCUUUUGGAUCAAUUACAACUAGGAGAGGGGAAGGGCACUAGUUGUGGCUGAAUUCCCGCAUGUAUAGAUAGCACCGAUACGGUUCAUGCUUUACAUGCUGAUACGUCUCCGUCGUAUCUACUUUUCCAAACACUUUUGCCCUUGUUUUGGACUCUAACUUGCAUGAUUUGAAUGGAACUAACCCGGACUGACGCUGUUUUCAGCAGACUUUCCAUGGUGUUAUUUAUGUGCAGAAACAAAAGUUCUCGGAAUGACCUGAAACUCCCCGGAACAUCUAUUUGAAAAAUAAGAAAAAUACUGGAAGAAAAAUCCACGUCAGGGGGCCCACACCCUGUCCACGAGGGUGAGGGGCGCGCCUACCCCCCUAGGGCGCGCCCCCUGCCUCGUGGGCCCCCUGACGCUCCACCGACCUCAACUCCAAGUCCAUAUAUUCACUUUCGGGGAGAAAAAAAUCAGAGAGAAGGAUUCAUCGCGUUUACGAUAUGGAGCCGCCGCCAAGCCCUAAAACCUCUCGGGAGGGCCGAUCUGGAGUCCGUUCGAGGCUCCGGAGAGGGGAAUCCAUCGCCGUCGUCGUCAUCAACCAUCCUCCAUCACCAAUUUCAUGAUGCUCACCGCCGUGCGUGAGUAAUUCCAUCAUAGGCUUGCUGGACGGUGAUGGGUUGGAUGAGAUCUAUCAUGUAAUCGAGUUAGUUUUGUUAGGGUUUGAUCCCUAGUAUCCACUAUGUUCUGAGAUUGAUGUUGCUAUGACUUUGCUAUGCUUAAUGCUUGUCACUAGGGCCCGAGUGCCAUGAUUUCAGAUCUGAACCUAUUAUGUUUUCAUGAAUAUAUGUGAGUUCUUGAUCCUAUUUUGCAAGUCUAUAGUCACCUACUUUGUGUUAUGAUCCGGCAACCCCGAAGUGACAAUAAUCGGGACCACUCCCGGUGAUGACCAUAGUUUGAGGAGUUCAUGUAUUCACUAUGUGUUAAUGCUUUGUUCCGGUACUCUAUUAAAAGGAGGCCUUAAUAUCCCUUAGUUUCCAUUAGGACCCCGCUUCCACGGGAGGGUAGGACAAACGAUGUCAUGCAAGUUCUUUUCCAUAAGCACGUAUGACUAUAUUCGGAAUACAUGCCUACAUUACAUUGAUGAAUUGGAGCUAGUUCUGUGUCACCCUAUGUUAUGACUGUUACAUGAUGAACCGCAUCCGGCAUAAUUCUCCAUCACCGAUCCAAUGCCUACAAGCUUUUCACAUAUUGUUCUUCGCUUAUUUACUUUUCCGUUGCUACUGUUACAAUCACUACAAAAUACCAAAAAUGUUACUUUUGCUACCGUUACCGUUACUUCCAUAUUACUUUGCUACUAAAUACUUUGCUGCAGAUACUAAGUUAUCCAGGUGUGGUUGAAUUGACAACUCAACUACUAAUACUUGAGAAUAUUCUUUGGCUCCCCUUGUGUCGAAUCAAUAAAUUUGGGUUGAAUACUCUACCCUCGAAAACUGUUGCGAUCCCCUAUACUUGUGGGUUAUCACACGCAUGCACACACAUACCUGCAGUAUGUAUACAUACACACAUCACUGGCAUUUCUCUACAGAUAAUCAUCCGUUGCAUGUCUUUUAUAUGCUUUCCAGGGUGUCGUGUACCGGUGCACACUGGCAUGUAUGCCACGCAUCAAAGCUUUCUCGUCUUCUUAAGAAAACAUAGUGCAGGAUAUAUGGAUCAACCCAACACUCAAGGUGUACAUGAUUAUGUGCUUAUCAAAUGCAUGCUUGUCCAUAUCCCAACCUUGCAUGCAUCUCCUCGUGCCCAGACUGUUUUUAAAAUUAUUUUAUACUAGUUGAAUGACAAUGCAUUGUCAAGAAACAAUGAAAAAAAUUAGAGAUACUUAUCAAACAAUUGUUAUAAUGUAAAAAUGUGUGUCAAACAUGAUGACAUGAACUUUGGGAUCUGUGAACUUUAUUACAGCUAGCGGAUCUUGGAAGUUCAUAAACACAUAUUGGGGUGACUAAUUAUCACGCUAGCAAGUUCUAUAUGUUUAAUUACAGUGAGCUUGCUGCCACGGUUUUGAAUUUAAUUUUCCAUAAACAAGCCUGCUCGUAUUUGUGCCUAAUUUUGACCAUAAAUUUUACCAUGAAAAUAUUAGAUGUGUCACAUCAGUGUUUUCUCACUCGAAUUUUCUGUUCUUAGGAAAUGGUAAUUUGUUUGUAGUUGGUACAAUUAUUUUUUCAGCUUUAAGCUAUAAAUACCUGACCGCCUACUUUCGCAUCUCUAAACAUGAAAUUGCACAUAAAAUUUGCAAUACGCAAUCAAUGGAAUGACCACGAGAGAAACUUAUAUACCUAAGAGAAUUAUCGCCACUACCUAAUUUAUCUUAACAUGCAGCCUAUCCACAUCACCACAUAUGCCACCCCAUCAAUUUAUCUCUAUGUUUUCCUUUCCACUAAGAUAGCAGUUCUAUUUCCAAGCAUAAUAGUCGAUCGAUCGCAUGCCCUCCCUCAUUCGAAAUCAAUUCUAGUUCCACCCUCUAAAACAUAUGGCACACUAUCCCAGCUGCAUCGCCUGAUCUUACCACUAAAUUUUCUCUCCACUUGACAGACCAAGGUCAAUACAUCUUAGCUUCCCACCUAUUCUUGAUUGAGUUGGAGCCGCCGUAAUCGAGCUUCCACAUGCAAAAUCAUUCCCAUGCCAAGAUGAACCUGGAUGUUGCGCCGUCAUGCUGCGGCUGGACAACAACACGCUGUGGUGCCCUGCAUCUGCUUUGCCCAGCUCGCUACCUCCCAUCAUCCACAUUAGUUUUGUCCAGCCGCUACACACCCCACCCCGCAUAAUUGCAGUACCACCAACGACCUUUUCUCCAGCAUGGAGCACAUCGAUCUGGUCGCUGUGGCAAGGGUUGGAAAGGAAGAAGGUGGGCUCUUUGCCUCUACCGAACUCCUUUCUUUACUCAUGUCUGUUAAGUUCAGUCAAUUAGACUAGAACGUCCUAGCAUCACAGGAACCUUGUGGGGUUCCAUUGCCAUGUGCAGGCUUAACACAUGUAUCCCGUCGGCAAUGUAAAUGACAUCCUGUAAUGCAUGUCUUUUAGCUAAUUCUAUUUCCCUAAAUUUUCUUUUACAUCAUCUAAUCUAAAGGUCGUUGGUAUUACUGAUAUAUUCCACUUGAUUUGAACUACUAACCAGUUAACCACUAUAUAUGCGGAUUGCAUAAUCUGUCAUGUUGCAAUUCAUUCAGAUUUUUAAAAUGGACUUUUUUAUAUAAGAUUUGAUUUACACUUCUAGAAGCAGUCCAUCGGUCAAUCUCACUACAUCCAUUAUACAUCGACCUGCCAAUAUUAUGUUGACUAAAUACGGCGGAAUGGAUGAAGGAAAAGUGUUUAUUUAAGUAUGAAAAAUGCAUCCCAGAUUACCCCUUCAAAGUCAGAAUCCUUUCCACAUCCAUGGUGAUGGGUCAUGCUAUUUUCAGGUUAUGCAACACGAUUUGGUUUUCUUCUCAUUUGCCUUAGACAAACGUUUGAUUGGUAACAUAUGUUUAUGUUUUUUUAUGGAUUUUCAGAAAUAGUAUUGAUGUAUAAUUACAUGAUGCCUAACAAGGGAUUGCCAAAUUUUGUGUAGGGUAUAAUUUGGUGGUAGCAUGAAUUUUGAACCCCCCCCCCCCCAUUAAAACUUUCCCUUUACUAUCUUUGUUGCAGGUGAUGCUACAUUACACUCAUCCAGAUGCAAUUCCUUUUCUCAGAAUUUGGAACUAUGUUGUUCCCGACAACUGUUAGCAUAAAACUUUGCAAAAAAAAAAAUUGGCAUCCAACAGAUUACAGUAUGGAUGCUCUUCCUGAUAGGUCACCAUAUAACAACAAAAGUUUUAAGGUAUAACUGACUCGUUCUUGCUGCCGCCCCAAGCUAUGCAUAUGAAUUGCACAUCUACAUUUGAUCCUGGUCUUGGCACAACUAGUGUUGGUGAGUCACGUGAUGAAUAUCAAUUCCCCAGUGCAUCAACAACGAUACUUUUGAUUCAUAUGGUUAUGCUUAGUUACAUUGACCUCUGUGCAUCUCCAUCAUUUCUAUGGGUAUGAUGCCAUGGCAAAAGUUACACGUAAUUGCAAGGUAGGGAAAAAUUAGUAUCAUUACAUUUUAUUUGAAAAAUUACUGAGCAUAAAUUAAUAAAUUAAUGGAAUGCAUGUACUGAUCUGCUUGGCUCCGGCAGAACCCAUUGGACUGUCUAUGGCAAUGUUUGACUUAAGUCCACAAGGUGAGUUUUACUGCAUCUGAUUUUUAUUUUUAAUUUAACCCUAAUAGGAAUGAUGAGCUUUCUAGCACCAACGCUACAUGAGAAAGGUCAUCAAGUGGAAUGGUUUGGACAUCAACUAACUAGAACAUGGGUCAUUUCAUACACAUGUUCAUCUUCUUUGCUAGUAAAAGUAACAAGCUACCGAUGUCACCAUAUUGUGCUUAUGUUAUUACCGUUUCUAUUUGUACGUUUUUUUCACUAUUUUAUAUUGAGAUAUGAUCUGUAAGAUACUCAUUGCUUUAGUUUCCAUCUGUAUUUCGCUAUUUGUAGACCACUAUGUUGCACGCUUCCACCCUGUAAAGUCUAUUUAUUUUGGUGUCGCCAACAUGCCAUUGGCAAAAAAAAGUCUGUUUGAAAGACCUUUGCCAACUAGACAUUUGAUGCCAAACAAUGUUGGUCGAAAAUGUCCUUUCUUUUCUGAUCGACUUUUUGUGGUAGAAAGUCUUUUUCCCUACCAACAUAUAUGUAGGGAUCCUAUGUAAUAGUGUAGUGCAACGUAACUCACUGCUAUUAGUCAUAACUAGCUUCAUUACACACCUCAAGCUAGCUUUUCAUUUAGAGAUGAAGUGCCAAAUAUUAUGAAUCAGAUUGUGAUACGUCUCCAACGUAUCUAUAAUUUUUGAUUGCUCCAUGCUAUUAUAUAUUCUGUUUUGGAUGUUUAAUGGGUUUUAUUAUACACUUUUAUAUUAUUUUUGGGACUAACCUAUUAACCCAAGGCCCAGUGCAAAUUGCUGUUUUUUGCCUAUUUCUGUUUCGCAGAAAAGGAAUAUCAAACGGAGUCCAAACGGAACGAAACCUUCGGGAGCGUGAUUUUUGGAACAAACGUGAUCCAGAGGACUUGGAGUGGACGUCAAGAAACGAACGAGGAGGCCACGAGGCAGGGGGCGCGCCCUCCACCCUCGUGGGCCCCUCGUGGCUCCACCGACCUACUUCUUCCUCCUAUAUAUACCUACGUGCCCAGAAACCAUCGAGGAGCACCACGAAAACCUAAUUCCACCACCGCAACCUUCUAUACCCGUGAGAUCCCAUCUUGGGGCGUUUUCCGGCGCUCCGCCAGAGGGGGAAUCGAUCACGGAGGGCUUCUACAUCAACACCAUGGCCUCUCCGAUGAUGUGUGAGUAGUUUACCACAGAACUUCGGGUCCAUAGUUAUUAGCUAGAUGGCUUCUUCUCUCUCUUUGGAUCUCAAUACAAAGUUCUCCUCGAUCUUCUUGGAGAUCUAUUCGAUGUAACUCUUUUUGCGGUGUGUUUGUCGAGAUCCGAUGAAUUGUGGGUUUAUGAUCAAGAUUAUCUAUGAACAAUAUUUGAAUCUUCUCUGAAUUCUUUUAUGUAUGAUUGGUUAUCUUUGCAAGUCUCUUGGAAUUAUCAGUUUGGUUUGGCCUACUAGAUUGAUCUUUCUUGCAAUGGGAGAAGUGCUUAGCUUUGGGUUCAAUCAUGCGGUGCUCGAUCCCAGUGACAGUAGGGGAAAGACACGUAUUGUAUUGUUGCCAUCGAGGAAAAAAGAUGGGGUUUAUAUCAUAUUUCUUGAGUUUAUCCCUCUACAUCAUGUCAUCUUACCUAAUGCGUUACUCUGUUCUUAUGAACUUAAUACUCUAGAUGCAUGCUGGAUAGCGGUCGAUGUGUGAAGUAAUAGUAGUAGAUGCAGGCAGGAGUCGGUCUACUUGUCACAGAUGUGAUGCCUAUAUACAUGAUCAUGCCUAGAUAUUCUCAUAAUUAUGCACUUUUCUAUCAAUUGCUCGACAGUAAUUUUUCACCCACCGUAAUACUUAUGCUAUCUUGAGAGAAGCCACUAGUGAAACCUAUGGCCCCCGGGUCUAUUUUCCAUCAUAUUAAUCUCCCGUCAACAAGCUAUUUCUAUCGCCGUUUAUUUUGCUGCAUCACCCUUUCCUCUUCAAGGGAAAACCAACGCAUGCUCAAGAGGUAGCAGAUUGUUAUCAAGUUCAUGUAAGGCUGGAAUUGGAGAACUAGACACCUUGGGAGUGUCUUGAGAACGAUUUCUAUCCUUAAGCUUUAGCUAGACUUAUAUGCGCGUUCGUGUACGCCUAUUCGUGCAACCAAGGCCGUCUCAAUUGCUCAUGCGGAAGACAUAAAAGAAUGCAAAGCGGCAUGAUGGCUACUCGUGUGGUGAAGAUGGUUAGGGUUCUGGGAUACUAGGCGAGCAAAACCAAUGAGAUCAACAACUUGAAAUUCUGACGACGAGUAAGUGAUAUGCCAAAACUUAUCUACUUUUCCAAUCAUUUUUCUUAUACUUACUCGUCUAAUUUUAUAUUGAUGUGCCAAAACUUGAAAUCCUGUUUUAUUUGAAGAUUUUUAAUCAAAUUUUAUAUUGGUGUAGUUUUCAUGUGUGCGAACGUGUUUUUUGACUAUGCGCCAAAAGGAAAGCUUAGUUGUAUAUUAGUUUUCAUUGGACUCAUGUAACAUGGGAGGAUUGGGCAACAUAUGUUAUGCAAUUUCCCAUAAAUAAGCAUGUUCAACUACAUAUGGAGUACAUGCAUAUAAAAGUAAAGAGAACAUGAUCUAGGAUUACAUAAUUUCUUGUAUCCCAUAUGUAUGACUGAUGCCAUGCAUCCAUGUAACUCCCAAAUUUCCAUUCUCACACCUAUGUUUAUAAUGUUGAUGAUCUCCUUCAAUACAUGUUAUUUGUAGUUGUCAGGUAAUUAGUAGUCUUAUUUACUUUUCUGCAACCAACAACACUCAAAAUCAUGUCACUAUGAUAGCACUAAUAAUUUUUCUUAAAUAAAUAUUCGUUUCAUGUGUGGUUCAAAAUAAUAUAUUAGCUACUAAAUACUUAUUAUUUUUCUUUCUCUCCGACAGCGAUAAAUACAAAUUAGAGUUGCAAUACUUCCCAAUGCGACUAUUGCGACCCCGUGCACUUGUUGGAUAUCUGCAAAGCACUACAACAAGAUUUUCAUGCCAAUGCUGAGUUGUGGGGUGAAGCUAAAAAUAUCAAUGGUGUCAAUCUUUUAAAUUGAUUGGUGUUAUUAACUUUUUCUUAAAAUCCUUAUGUGGAAACAUAUGAUUAACAAUCACGAAUGGUCAUAUUUGACCUCCAAACAAAAACGAAUAGUUUGCACUUCUAAGUGCAUACCAACUCGCAAAACUAGAAGUAAUUUUGAGAAAUUAGAUGGGAAAGAAAUAUUUAAAAAAUUGGAGUACAUGAUUACAAUGUCUUGUGGAUUGCCCUUUAUGCCAUUUGUUUUAUAAUUUUCACAUUCCAGAGAGAGAGAGAGAGAGAGAGAGAGAGAUGGAGCACAACAUAAUUUUGUACUUAUUUGCAUUUCAUGGUUGCAACAAGUGACAAGGAAAGAAUGUUAGGGUUAUGGUAGUGGUGUGAGGGGAAUGUGCACAUGGUAGUGCGGUGUGCCUAGUCUUGGCUUCUCCCACUUUGCUUUCAUGUUAUAAUUUGGUUAGCCUUUAUAUCUUCCUUUACAUUUAUGUUUUCCUAGCUUAGUUUAUCUAACCGUUUGCUGCACCAAUAGAAGAUAUCACAAGUUUACUAAUUUUUAAACUCUAGUUUGGAUGCGAAUGCGACUCGAGACCAUGACAACUCUACUUGGGUAUGAGGGAAUGACUAACCUUAACUCAUACGGUUUAACAAAUACCUAGUUAAUGCUUAUGUGAAAGGUACCAUCGUUAUCCAUGCACUAGCGGUUGUCAAGGUACUUUUCUGGCACUGUUGCCAGGGCUCUUAGCCCUUAGAUGUUUCCUCUGAACUCACACUUAGUUUAGUGUAUUUUUAAUAUUCUAUCUCUAACCCCCUAACAAAACAAUUACCAAAAAUAUUUGAUGUCGAUAUGCCUUUUUAGGAAUAACAAAUGCUACAAAGGAUGAAGGAAUAGCCACGAGUACACCAAUCAAGUCUGACUAUGAUGCAAAGACAAUUGAACGAACAUAUUGGGUGAAUGAGUACUUAUCCAUGUUACGUGUCUCAUAUCCAUUGUCUUGAGGGAAUUGUGGAUCUGGUGAACACAUGAACUAUCAAUGUAAGUAUGGGUUUGAUCCAUAAUAGAAACCUAUAACUCUUGCGAUAAAAACAAUGCUAGUAUGGAGGUCAUAGAAUUCAUAAUUUUCACGGUUGCAAGUGAGAUGCUACAUCCAAUAAUAAAGAUUAACAUAGAAACCAUCUUACUUGACAGGAUUAACAUGGUAGUACAACCCAUCCAUGAGUUUUGCUUGGAUAAUAUUUGUGAGAAGUCAUUAAUGCUCAACAUUUGUGUCGGUAUAUUGAGUUGUGGGAAGAAGCUUAAAAAAUAUUGAUGUUGUCAAUUUUUUUAAAAUUGACUGGUGUCAAUACAUUUUUUUGAGAGCACUAUGUUAAGUUGAAGAGGGUGAGCACUAAAUCCUUGGUAUCAUGUGACACACGGGUUGGAUGAGUCUUUCUAACUGAAACCGGCAGAUGGAACUUCCUAAGUGUAAACCAAAUCUUAAAAUUCAAGGUAUGUUCGAGCAAUUAGAUGGGAAAGGGGUAUUCAAAAAUUCAAAGUGCUUGACUAUGAUGCCUUGUUGAAUGCAUUUGAUGGCAUUUAAAAAAAAUCAAUCUGUUUUUAUCAGCAACCAAAUUUUGUAAUUCGUCCAUCUCCACUGCAUUUCAACUAGGAGAGAGAGUGAGAGAGAAAGAGAGAGUGCGCGACCUCACUUUUUACUUAUUUGACACAAGUUCUUAUUUAUUUACAUAAAAUAAGUGAGGUUCUUCUCUUACUUUUUAUUAAGGCAGCUGGCAUAUUAUUUACUACUUUAUUACUAUAUAAGACAGCCAUUAAGUCUAGUCUUAUUUUUAUUUUAUUUUAUUAAGCCAGGACGGCUACUCUUUCUACACUAAAUUUAUUCUGUUUUAUUAAGCCAACAAGCCUACUUCUGCUACCCUAAAUUUAUUUUAUUUGACUAUAAGCCGGCAGGCCUACUACUCUUUCUACCCUAAAUUUAUUUUUAUUGUACUUAUUAAGCCGGCAAGGUAAUACUAAUGAGUACUAGUAAUUUAUUCUGGAGUGCAUGCAUGGAUAGUCGAAAUUCGGAGUGGAAGUUGGUUGGUGCUUCAUUCACUCGCGGCCAAAGUCAAAGGUGCCGCUUGCUUUGGGGUGUCAGAUACCGGAGCAAAAGGUGCAAUUGUUUGUUGACCAAGCUGCAUGCAAAGUUGCAAAUAACCAAGCGUGUCAAUAUAUAUGCAUACUCAAUAUGUAUGGGCGCGCAAAGAGAGAAAGAACUAGGAUUACGUACUGGAUGGUCCUCCUAGCAUGACACAGUGCUGCACCGACUUUGGGGGGCCGUCGCCGAGGACCUCGGCGAAGAAGAGUCGUGUCCCGUGGGACCCCGCGACGGCCCUGAAGUUGACAUGGAAGCAGAGCCGGUUGUCGCCGGCGUCCACCCACCGGCAGGAGAAGGCGUGGCUGUCCACCGGGUCCAGAUCCGUGAGAUCAACACCCUACGUAGCGUAAUCAUUCAGCCAAGAUUGAUCAUCAGUACGUAACCUAAGAUGGGAGCAAAGAAGAAGAAGAAGAAGAAGGAGAUGGAGUAAGUAAUGCAGAAUACAUGAUUUUCGCUGUAGUGCUGGGCUGCGAGCCUGGUGCAGCGCUCCGUCUGGCUCUCACCUCUAGACGCCAUUACCUAAGCUAGCUAGCUAGCUGGUGUGGUUUAGUGCAGUUGCUUGUGAUGCGAGAUGGAUCAGUGCAACAAGUAUGUAUAUAUGGCCAUACAGGUGAGGUGAAGGUGAAUUGACCCAUCAUCACGAGUGUAUGAUCGACCGAGGUGCAUUCGAUUUGUGUGAAUUUUUUUUCACCUAUCAUCAUGCAAGCUAUGUUAAUGUGUUAGCCCGUCAAGACAGAAGCAAUAUGCAUGUCCAAGCAUGCGUCGCUGAUGCCCGCCGGUCAGCCACGCUUCAGCGCUCAUGCGAUCAUGCUGCUACCUCUCAAGAGCAUGAUCCGUCAUGCCCCCAGCAUUGAUCCACAUGCAUGUGUGUGUGUGUCUGUGUGUGCGCGCGCGCGUGUGUGUUUGAGAGCAACCCAUGCAGUGAAACUGUUAUUGUAGGACGCAACGAAUAAGUUUGCCCCCAAAUUAUUAUUACUCCUUCCGUAUCUAGAGAAAUCUAAGACAAGUAAUAUGGAUCGAAGGAAUUAUUACUACUACUACUACUACUACUACUACUACUAUUUUAUUUUUUAUAUGUUGUUCUCGUUGGUGGUGGUGUUGUAGUAGCAAUUGUUGUUAUUGUUCUUCUUGCUGCUGCUACAACUACAGGAAAGUCGUUUGGUGCGCAAGCUCCAUAGAGCUUGGUUGUUUCGAAAUGUUAAAGAACCACAUCUAAUUUUUUAUAAAAUUCUGGAAACAAUUACACACUGACGUAUAGAUGUUCAAUACAUGUGUGAAAAUAUUCAUGCGAAAAUACAGUGACACAUGAGCUACACAAAAAAGUGAAAAUUGUUGGGGGAUUUUUGUAGUGAGAAGUACAUCGCAAUUUGGCAUUCUUGUGCAUGUCACAUGUCAUUGUAUUUUCUGAUUACAACUUUCACACAUUUAGUAUAUAUCCAUAUGUGAAUGCGUAUUUUUCAGAAUUGUUUAAAACUUUGAAAUGUAAUUUUUCAAUCAAAAGGCUGCACUCACCACUACUAUUAUCACCACCAGAGUACAGAUUUUUUGGCUGACAAGCACCUUGGGUCUCGGUAUCCCGAGCAUUGUUAUCUGCCUCAUGAUGGGCCACUCAAGAAUUUCCUCAGUACACUCAGCGCAGGAUACAAAACCGAAUUCAUGGGCCGGUGGAUGGCUUCAAAUGCUUUAUACUAUUAAGUUGAUUUAGUAUUAUUUAAUGUCUGCUAAUAAUCAUGCAAAAUCCUAUUUGCCGCUCGUUGGAGCGUUUGUCGCCGGAAUGCACAUGCGAGCGAACCAGCAAGAGUAAGUGAGCCGGCUCAUUUAAGGGUAGACAAAGGCAUUCCAGUUCCAGUUACCCAUUUGGAAACCUUCUAGUAGGUUCCUAAACAUUUUUUUUGUUUAUUUCAUAAUUCAUUUAUUGUUUUAUUUUUUAUGUUUCUUUUUUUAUUUAAUUUAUUUUUUCGAAUUUCACAACUUUAAAUGUUUUUACAACUUCUAAAUGUUCACAUUAAAAAAAUCAUUUUCAAAAACUGUUUGAAAUUUGAAGAAAUGUUCGUGUUUUCAAACAACAUCCAAAAUUUGGAAAUUGUUCAAAAAAUUCAAAAUAAUCGGGUUUCAAAGAAUUUCAAAUUUUCAAAAAUUCAUCACGUUUUCAUUUUUUGUGUUUUAAAAAAUGUUCACGCAUUCAUAAAAUGUUCGCAUUUUCGAUUUUUUUAAUUUUCAAGAAAACUUCGAAAUUUCAAAACAAUGUGUUUCUAAAAAAUGUUAAUAAUUUUUUAUAAAAUAUUUAAAUUUUGAGAAAAAUCCAUGUUUUGAAAAUUCUUUGCUAUAGGCCAUUUCACUAGAGUGGGGCGCCCAGGAACUUCCAAUAAUCAGUGCCUCUAACUUCAAAUCUCUGCUUGGUUUUCUAAUGUGACGAGGAUUCCUUCACAUUAGUGCUUUUAUAUCUGAAAAACACAUGUGUUUGUGUACAAGCAUCAUUGACAUAUCCUAAGCAUAGUUUAUACAAACUUAAUUUUGAAAUAGGAGACAUGGGAGAAGAUGCGACUGUUCUGCACCUGCGCUCAGAUGAGCCAGGGUGUGAAUAGUAAAUUUGUUUUAAAUCACAAAAAGAAUCAAAAAAAUAUCCAAAAAUAAUUGUGGUGCGAGCUGCUCAUGUGCAUGAUGCUUGUGCAAAAUUUGGUGAAGUUGGAACUUCGAGGAGCUGGUGGCAAAAAUAGAAAUUUUGGGUCUCUGAGAAACUUCUGAAAAUAAAAUUGUUCACAUCCUAUUUUGUCUUUUUUCCCGUGAGCUCCUUUAAUGUCCAAACACCCGAAAAUUUGCACAAACAUCACGCAUUUGAGCAUCUUGCACCACAGCAAAAUAGCAGAUCUUUCGAAUUUUUUUGCUAUUUUUUACUGUUCACCGGGUGUAGACGCCCCAACACGCAUUGAAUUAUCGAGAGGGAGAUAACAUCUCAGUAUCAAUGAAGAGGGUCAUACUUUGUACCAUCGACCCAUAUGGAUAUCUAGCCCUCCUUUCAGACAUAAAUUUUCCAAAAAACACAAAGUAUGAAUCCAUGAGAAAAUACAACAAUAAAUAGACCAAUUGAACGGUCAUGAUGUGCAUAACUAGUACUACUACUGUUGCUACUUCUGCUGCUACUGCUAUUCCUACUACUACUCAUAAUGCUACUCCUACUGCUACCACUACCGCUAUUGCUACUGUUGUCGCCGCUGCCACUGCUACUAACUUUAGUUUUGCUGAAACACGUAGUUGUACAUGGGAUGAUCCAUCUAAAUGGCCAGAAUACCAUUGGUUUAUUUUCAACUACACCUAACCCAUCGGUGCUUCCCUCGCUUUUCCUUCAUUUUCUAUGUGUUCCCUCGGUCGUCCUCGUCUCCAUUGUCCACCUCAGAACACCCCUCUACUUUCUCUCUCGGAAGGAAGGGGGAGGGUCUUUCCUCGCACCUUGUUUGUAGUUAGUUAUUUUGCUUCCGCCUUUGUGAUGUAUGCCUCCAUGGUUUAACCCUGGAUUUUGGCUGUUAGGUGGCCCCUCAUCUAUGCCUACAUGGAAACGUUGGUCCUGGUGUGCGGGUCCCACCAAUCAGAUUCAUUGUUAAAACGAACUAAUCUGUGUUUUGAUGCUAUGUGUCACUACUCACUACCCUACUUACUAUAGUGAUGGAUUUUUUAUGAAAAAUAUGGCAAAGUAGCAGGUUUGUGAUGACAUGGUCAUAAAUAUUGGUUUUGUGUAACUUACGCACGUGUCCUAGAUUGUACCAUGAGGCCAUAGGCAAAACCUGGAUGUUGGUAUUUCUGUGGGAACCGAUGCCAUAUCCAAAGCAUCCCAAGCUCCUCUCCACAAUCUGAAGAGCUCCCCCAUCCCUAAAUCUCUUUUUUUCAGGUGCCAUCGUCCCUAAAUCUAGCUUCGAUGUCGUGUGUCAUGGCCUGCACCCACACCUAAAUCAACGUGUCCACAUCUGUAGCAUCCGCACUCAAGGUAGCACAUCAGACCGCAAGGCACCGCAAUCCCCAUGGACAAAUUAAUUUCGCGUUGAUCCAACAUGUAGCAUCUAGAACAGCAUGAAGGAACACAACGACCAACGUCCUGCUCAGGGUGUAGGGGCUGUUGAAAUUGCGGUGCACGAGAGGCUUCAAGUUGCGUGCAAGGCAACGACCGUAGCAAGGGGGAUUGCUAGGGCAGAGGUGCACCGGCGAUGGCGAUGAAUGGGGGAUGGCAGAGGCAGCAAGGUGGAGGCGGCGGCCCAAAGAUGGAAGAGAGUGGGGAACAAUGCGGCAUGAACCAACCGCCUUUGCCUCUAUGUCGCUGUCCUCAUCCUUCUCACCACCACGGCCCGAGCGUGCGCCGUAGUGGCCAGGCGGGACAACAAGAUGAUGGGACAGUGAGGAGAUAAUGGUUGCGAGAGGGAGAGAAGAGAAAGAGGCGAGCAGAAGAAGGAGAGUGGAAGGGUUCUCGCAAGGAAAGAAACAGCAAUGGCUGGUCGGAUCCAUCUAAAGAGGAAAUAAAUUACACAAGUAUCAAAAAAUUAAAAUAAUUGUUACAAAGCAGAAAUUAAAUUCAGCGCAACACUCAAGUAUUUUUCAAUGAUAUACAUUACAACAUAUAACAAAUAAUUCAAUAAUAUUAUCAAAUAUGCAAAAUAAGCAAUGAAAAAUUAUUUAAGUAUAAAAUUUUAAUAUAAAAUAUGUAUAUAUCAAAAGGAGCGGGACAAUAGGGGAAAAUUAAAUUGUGAAUCGAAAUAAAAUUUAGAUUGUUGUACACCCAAAAUUGAAAUACUGACUCCGUCAUUAAAGUCAAUGAUUUUUAAACUACUUGUAUGGGAGAAACUAGACGGAUGAAGUAAUUAGGGAUUAAAUGAGCUAUGUUGUAGUGCAUGGCUGCAAGCCUAGUGCAGACGUGCAUCUGGCUGUCAUCAUGGGGGGCAUCGACGAGGAUCUCCGCGAAGAAGAACCUUACCUCGUGGUGCCCAGAUUCCGGUCUGAAGUUGACGUGGAAACAGAGGCGGACAUCGCCGGUGGCAUCCACCCAGCGGUAGGAGAAGGCGUGGUUGUUCACCGGAUCCAAAUCCUUGAGAACAACACCCUGCGGAUGGAUGUAGGACGUACGUAGUUAAGAUCAGUCAUGGACGGAACUAGUUGAGGACGUGCGUGUACAAAUGUGCACCCCUGAUUUCUUUUCAAAAACAAGUAUAUAGGUACAUCGUUAAACCGUAUGGUUUAAAAAGUCUUUUGUUAUAUUUGUACAUUAUUUAUCUCUCACAUAUGGUUUAUUAAAUAUAUUGUUAAAUUUGCACACGGGUGCUCCAAAAACAAGUAUAUUAUACUCUAGAAUUUUCUAUAGAUAUAUUUUCUUAAUCAUAUAAUAGAAGCACUAUUAUAAUAUUUGUGAAACCAUAUGUUUACAGAUAUCUAAUAUAUUUAUGUAUAAACUACAUAAAUUACACAAGUAUCAAAAAAAUUAGAAAAAAUUCUUACAAAAAAAUAUUUAAAUUCGGCACAACACUUAAUUAUUUUUCAAUGAUAUACAUUAAAACAUAUAACAAAUAAUUAAAUAAUAUUGUCAAAUAUGCCAAAUAAGUAAUUCUAAACUAGUGCAGACGUGCAUCUGGCUAUUAUCGUGGUAUAUGUAGUACUCCUCCCUGAUCUGCUACAAGUGGUUCUUCGCCCUCCAGUCCGUGUACCGGUUGACAAACAGCCUCCACAGGUCAUCGCUAUAGUCGCCUCCAGCCACCAUUAUCUUUCUCGCCGAUAACACUGUAAGUGGCUCUAAGAACAUUGGAUGCACAUGCGCAGUCCGCUAUAUUUGUUGAACAACCAGUCUAUACUACUGAUAUUUAUGAUACAAGAAAUUGGGAUAAUCUUUGAUAAUAAAGCAAGACAUAUCUUAGUUGAGAAUGGAAGAGGUCAAAAAAAAUGGAAUACAAUGUAGACAAUGCAGGAAGAUAUUUAUCAUAUCUCACUAUCAUAGGAAAUUAAGCAAGGGAGAGAAACAUGAUAGAAAAUGGCUUGUUUAUUCACAUGAUGCUGACAAACUUUUUUUGCUUUUUCCGAAAGAUCUUCAACUCUAGCAUUAGUAGGAGUCAGAAUUCCUUAGCACGUAUAGUGGAUUAAGAUAUUGGACGCAUAUAAGUAAGAAGUUUAAAGAACAUGAUAAUAUCAUCUAUAUAUAUAUCAUAUAUACAUAUGUUCUUAUUGUGAUGUCUAUAUUAAGGCCCCAAGUUUUAGUCUCGCCCCGGGCCCCCAAAAUCUCAGGACCGGCCCUGUGCAUUAAGCUUGCAUUUGCGCAGGCAGCACACGUCUUAGCCCGCCCAUUCUACAAGCGCUUGAAGAAUAUUGUUCUACGAGCGCUUUGGAACUAGUACAACAUAGACACAUCCUAACUGCAUUGAUUACAGAUAAAAAUGCACUCAUUUUCUGGUACUGUUUUUGAGACAAUUUUUCAACCAUUUGUUGGGGCAAGGCUUGUGAUACACCAUUGAAAAAUUAUAGAUUAGACGAAACUUUUUCAUAUAGAACAGCUUUUGAAAUUCCUUACAGUUUAGGAGUCGUUUUGAAAACCAUGCAGCACCCGUCGAGCGGCAGCGACCGUAUUUUCUUGAAAAUUUUCAAACCAGUCGUUGGAACGAUGCUCUCUAACUUUUUCAUGUAGAGCACGCUCUCUAACUUUGAGCAAUUUCAAAUGUACCAAAAUACGAACACUGUUAUGUGUACUUGAAGAGCAUCAUUACGAUGACUGGCAACCUGAAGCGGCCAGAGGACUAGGCGCAUAAGGGCGCGGACACUGCCAAUGCACAACUUGCACAAGCAGUCGGCUGACCCAUCAUAAUUAUCACUUGAGAAGAAGCAGACGGGCAGAGCCCACAUUUUAGUUAGCCCAAGACGUCAAGAAGGUUUUUGUUCCCCAGACUAAUGCCUCCAAGACAGCCCAGGUCGGUACUGACCUACAUGAAAAAUAGGAACUUGCCAGUCAUUGUAAUGAUGCCCUUAAACGCAACAGGAUAAUUCUAUUCAUUUCCUCUCGGGUUUGAUUGCCCAAAGAGGAAUAAGGGAGCACGUUCUUUUCAUAAAUGCUACCCUAAUAAAAAAAUUGAUAGGGAAUGGGCCCUCAAGUAUAUAUGCCGUCAACAUGUUGAUUGAUACACACCAUGAAUAAUUAUUUCUAUUACCAUAUUAUCAGAAGUAAGUUAAUUAUACAACCACUUAUACAUUGAUUGUGUUUGAAUAUUCAACAUAGUUGUAACUUCGUGCUUUUCAUAAUUUGUAGGAAAACUUGGAUCUUGAUUGUCAUUGUUCCAAAGCGCAAGAAAGUCUACUACCUAGAUUAUCUCCUUUCACAAAAUAAGAUCCUCUGGAUCUGUCAUAUAUCCAGAAACUCUCUGAUAUGUAUUGAAUUCAUUGAUGAUAAAAUUUGUAUUCAUAUAUGUUUCCAAAAUUGAGUAUGGAAAAAGUCAUCUUGAUCUGUAGUGCAUUUUCCUCAUACUUUCGUUGUGGAGGGAACCUUGACGAUAAGAUCCAACCUCUGGUGCAUAAUUCCAUUUUUCCGGUAAGAUACUGAAAUCCGUUAUGGUCAAAAAUUAUAUCCCAAAGUUCACAAAUACUCCCUCCACUUCUUUUUUACUUCACAUAUAAGAUUUGUCUGAAGUCAAACUCCGUAAUGUUUGACCAUGUUUAUAGAAAAAAAACAUUCACAAUACCAAAUCAAUAUUACUAUAUCCAUUAUGGAAUUAAUUUUUGUAUUUAUAACUUUAAUAUUGUAGAUGGUGGUAUUUCUUAAAUAUAAAUUUGAUCAAAGUUUACGAAGUUUGACUUCAGACAAAUCUCAUAUGCGGAGUAAAAAGAAACGGGGGAAGUACCUUGUCUUAUGUUAGUCAUGUGUUCGACUUGCUAAAUAAACACAUUCCUCGAUGUAUAUGUCUCAAAAAGAAAAAAAUAAACAGAUCAAGUUGUUCCUAAUAGGCACGUACUGUGAAGAAAUGUUGUACACAAAAUUCUAGUGUUCUCAGCAGUAAGAAGGGACCAAUAUUUAUGGAUUCUAUGUUUGCAAUCAAAUGAAUUCCUUAUGCUGAUUUGGUAUGCGUCUAGAUUCUGACAACCCAUUAGAAAUAGGUUUGUAUCUUAAUUACUUUAUUUUAGGGGCCAUUCGGAGGCCAUCCGCUCCGCGCCUCCACUCCCGGAGCGGACGGAGCUGCGGCUAGAAAAUUCAGAGCGGCCGAAACGAUACUCCCCAGCUCCGCGUAUUUUGAGGAGAUGGUGGAUCCCCGAACGGGCCCUUAGUCUACACGUACGACAUGGUCUUCAAAACAUGCAGCUCUUUAAAGCGAUGAGCUCUGCCCGGUGACGGCACCUCAGUUGCUAAAGAUCAAGGGAUUUAUCGGCACAACUCUUUGAAGAUAUUCCAAAUUUUAGCAAGCCUUUUGAAAAAAGGUAUGUUUUCAAUUAGUAUUUGACUUGUUUUCUGCUAAAUAUAUCUGCAUAGAUGUAUUGUUUCCAUGUGAUAUGAGAGGUCUACGCUCUUUCGUAGAUUAUGAUUUUUCAAUUAUUUUAUUUUAGUCACUGUUGCAUAUAUGUAGAUCUGUAAAAUUGAGCUAGAUAGAAUGCAGUAUUUUGCAUACUAUUGGUCGAUAUUGUGAUGAAUGUGCUUGUUGUGGACAAUACUUAUUGAAAUUCAUAUUCUCAGGAAUUUGCUUUUGCAGGGCCAAUUCAAAUCUUGUUACUUUCAAGCCCACUGGUUUUGUACAACGCACAUGGUUCUUGAAAUUGAGCAUGUGCAAUGCAAAGCAACAGACAUUAUCGAGAAUGAAACAGUGUGCGGUGUACAAGAAAAGCACGCGAAGAGAAUAGAACCGUGGGUGAUACACUAAUCAUCGCACAUGCUACGAAACCACUAUAUUCGUGUGUGACGAACCCCGCAUUCCAAUUGUUUUAAGUCGUGUACGAUAGCAACUCUCAUCCCACAUGUGAGCUUCAAACCUACGGUGUCCAGUGCCAAAUGUAAUCCCACUCGUAAAUUUGACAUGACCAAGCAUCUGAUUUCUUUUCCUAACAAAAAGCUCAUUUUGUUCGGCGCUACUCAAUACCCAUUUAUACAAGCAAUUAAAUAGAAAACUGAAAGAAAAAAAUGAAGCUUGUCCACAGAGAAGUGAAUCUCAAUGCAUAUCCAACAACUAAGCAUGGCUGACUAUAAUAUCUGGUACACACGUGUUGCAUGAAAAAUUAAUGCCUACGGCUCAACCAGUACUCCCUCCGUUUCAGUUUACAAGUCCUGCGCAUAUACCUAGGUUGCCAAUUUUAUCACCCUAAUAUAAACUAUAUAACAUAAAUAUUAUACCGUUUGAAAAUAGAACAUCUGAAGUUUAUAUUAGUAUAUUUUUUGUAAUAUAUGACUUGUAUUAGGUUGGUCAAAUUAACGACCUAGAGAUACGCGCACGCCCUAUAAACUGAGAGAGAGGUAGUACAAAAUAAAUUCUCACACAACGUUUUCUAUGACCACCCUCACACACGUGUUGCAUACUUGCAUGAUAAAUUAAUGCAUACGAACAUGCAUCGCAUAGUCUGUUGUAAACAAGAAUAUUUUCCUUGUCAUGAGAGACACCUUCAUCGCCCAAACCCCACCUAUAUACAUAUAAAUAAAAAUAACAUCAGCCAAUAGGUUUUUUGUUGUGGUGCAUUUGAGAAUAAAUAAAUAAAUGGAAUAUGUCCUAAACUUGGACUGGAACUAACCAACGCUUUCUUGUCCCUCCAAGGAAACUAUGCAUGUAGGCACAGUGCUCCAAGGAAACUAACAUAACGGUCUUCAUCAAGGUAUAGCUCUGCAAAGAAGAGCUCCUCUUUAGAGUUGUGCACGGUGCUUUUCGCUAGGAAGUUUAACGAUCGUGCCGCCGCUAGUGAUUGCUUUGAUGAUCUCAUACUUGAUCUACAUAUGCUUAAGCAAAAACAACCAGAAAUUAGUUUCCAGUUAAACAUCUAAACUGAAGAGAUGAGAGGUACACACAUUUGUGGUAUUACCACCCACCUUGUUCAUGUCUCGGGCAUUGUACUGGUCAAGCACAACGGUCGCAUAAUCAUUAGCUAGUUGUUCGUCGGUGUAAUAGUCGCAAUCAUCAUCAUCCUGGUAUAUAUCACCCUUGUCCAAAAAGUCAAUCUUUUCUAGUUCUUCAUCGAUCUCAAACUGGCUCAGACGGGGUGAUAGGUAGGGACGGGGUCCUUGCCGGCCAUGGCGGGUAGGGACGUGCCCAGUAGUGGGCGAGUGCCAAUUCAGUCCUGCAUCCAUGGAGUCCUAGAUUAAUUGGAAAAGAAUAUAUGUGUUUAGGAGAGAAUGGUGUUUUGGCUCUCGACCUCCAUGGAGGCCGAUUUUUUUUGAGAAAUUCAAAAUUUGAAAAUUUCGGUUUAAAAAAAAUGAAAAAAGUUGUACAAGUAAACAAGGAUGUGAGGCUUAUGUGUGUAAAAUUUCAUGAUGAAAUAAGUUGAGAUGUGACAUGUACAAAAAAGAUAAAUUCAUGGUCUGGGAGGAUGAAUAGAGUCAUGUGUUAGAAAGCCUCAAAUUUUUUUUUGCACAGGUCUAAUUUCAAUGUAUUUCGUCCUGAAAAUUUACACACUUGUGCACUAUGCUUCCAUCUAUCUAUGUAUUUUUCUUCAGAUUUUUAGGAAAUGUAAAAAAUAUGAAAUUUGAAGAAUUUUGAAUUUUGCAUUUGGAGGGCUCCAUGGAGCUCGGCCUCCAAAAGCAAUUUUGGUGUUUAGGAGUCUAUAUUGUUGUUUGGUGGAUGUAUAAUAUUAUAUACAUAGUGAAAUAAACCAAAAUUGUAGGUUUUAUUAAUUUACUCCAUCCAUGGAGCCGGUUAAUGGGCUGGCCCAGCGUUUAUUCCAAUCCACAAUGGGGGACUAACAAUGUUUUUCUUUUUUUAUAUUUUUUUUCAAAAUACUAAUUGCAUGUAUUUAGAAAAAUAUUAAGUUACUCCCUACGAUCCAUAUCAGUUGUCGCUGAAUCAGAUGUAUAUAGAUUAUUCGUCGCACAAUAAAAAUAUGUUCGUGCAGUAUAACAAAAAUCUUAGCUCAACUUUCAGAAAAUGCUUGUACCAUACAGAAAAAAUGUACGUGUCAUUUAAAAAUAUUCACACAUUUCACAAAUGUAAGUGCCAUUUUUGAAAAAUGUUCUACAAUAUAAAAAAUGUUUGCAUAAUUGUUUUGAAAAAUGUUCCUUACAACUCCAUUAAUUGUACAUUACAUUUUCUAAAAUGUUCACAGGUUUCGAAGUUAUGUUUGUGUCAUUCAAAAAAAAUGUUUAUACAAUACAAGGAAAUGUUUUGAUAUUUAAAAAUAAUGACAUCGAAACAUGUAUUACCACCCACCUUGAUCUUGUCUCGGGUGUUGCAAUGGUCGCACAACGGUUGCAUAACCAUUAGCUAGUUGUUCGUCGGUGUAAUAGUUGCAAUCAUGGUCAUCCUGGUAUAUAACACCCCUGUCCGAAAAAGUCAACCUUUUCUAAUUCUUUAUCGAUCCUAUAUAUACUACUUUAUCAUUUUAGAUAUGUUAAUAUACUAUAUAUAUAAGAUAAUUCAAAGUGGGUUAGAUGAAAAUUUUGCAAGUUUGCCCAUGGUUUUUAUUAUAUUCGUGAAAUAUGUACAUAUUUGUACGUAAAAAGAGCAUACUUAAAAUAUGAUACAUACUAUGUAAAAAGUAGUAUACAUAGUAUCUAAACAUUAUUAUAUACUACAUGUGUGUGUGUGUGUGUGUGUGAAAAAACGGCACAUCAAAACAUGUAUUUAGAAGAAAACAAAUGUUGAUCAUGUAUUGGAAAAAUGUUAGACGUGCACAAAAAACGUCACAUGCUGCAUGUAUCAAACUGAUGGUGUAGAACAUGUUGCUUCCUUGGACAUUACCACAAAAGUUCGCCCUCAAUUAGUGUGGAAUAAAAUUACUAGCACACAUUUAGAAGUGUAAGUAAUAGUUUAUUAGCACACAUUUCAAAGUCUAAAUAAGUGUUUAUGUCGUGCAUGGAACUCCCUCUAGGUCGGUGCACACCCAAAUUCAUUUCCAAAUAGUAUGCACCCAUGUGAUCAAAUUCACAUUAAUACAUUUAAUGGUAUAAUUAUAAUUGACCAAAAUAGUUUAUUCUAUAUGGGUUUAAAAGAUGCAUGAUGUACACCUGCUAGUAUUUUACAACACACGCAUAUGUAACUAGAUGAACCCUGGGGGUAGUGCAAGAGAGGAAUAUAUAGACACAAUUGAAAAAGUAGUAGAAGGGAGGAAUGCCAAGCCAUGUCAUGCACGCAAACUCUCUCAAGGUCACACUGAGAUGUAAAACACGAUGAAAACAAAUAUACUGGUUGGCAUAUAUCGACCUACUGUCUGAUGGAUGAUUAAUUUAUGCAUGCACACACAAACAUAUGUUGUCUUGGGUUAUCUGAUCAUCAAU
rnacentral:lncRNA from 1 species